UGCGAUAUAGCUCCAUUGGUAGAGCGUUUGCCUCACAUGCACAAGGCCCUGGGUUCAAUCCCCAGCAUCACAA
rnacentral:tRNA from 1 species